rnacentral:rRNA from 1 species
AUCCCUACGGGACGCAGCAGUGAGGAAUAUUGGUCAAUGGGCGGGAGCCUGAACCAGCCAAGCCGCGUGAGGGAAGAAGGUACAGCGUAUCGUAAACCUCUUUUGUCAGGGAACAAAGGCGGGGACUAGUCCCCGGAUGAGAGUACCCGAAGAAAAAGCAUCGGCUAACUCCGUGCCAGCAGCCGCGGUAAUACGGAGGAUGCGAGCGUUAUCCGGAUUUAUUGGGUUUAAAGGGUGCGCAGGCGGAGGUGCAAGUCAGCGGUCAAAUUGCGGGGCUCAACCCCGGACUGCCGUUGAAACUGCAU